GGGUCAGUAGGUUGGUCGUGCCACCGGUACGUACUGGUCUCACCGAUUCCUCCUUCCUGAAUAACCGUAAUGCCAUUAAUUUGGUGUUGCAGGGAAACAGGACCGUUACUUUGAAAAAAUUAGAGUGUUUAAAGCAAGCUAACGCUUGAAUACAUUAGCAUGGAAUAAUGAAAUAGGACGAUCGAUCCUAUUUUGUUGGUUUCUAGGAUUGACGUA
rnacentral:rRNA from 1 species